UACGAAGGGGGCUAGCGUUGUUCGGAAUUACUGGGCGUAAAGCGUGCGCAGGCGGCUCAUCAAGUCAGAGGUGAAAGCCCAGGGCUCAACCCUGGAACUGCCUUUGAAACUGUUGGGCUUGAGUACGGGAGAGGUGAGUGGAAUUCCGAGUGUAGAGGUGAAAUUCGUAGAUAUUCGGAAGAACACCAGUGGCGAAGGCGGCUCACUGGCUCGUUUCUGACGCUCAGGCGCGAUAGCGUGGGGAUCAAUCAGG
rnacentral:rRNA from 1 species